AUGUCCUUCAUGUGCUGUGAUAAAAACAAACUGAGAACCACAUGAACCGAUGGAGUUCAUCAGCUACAUCGAAACAUACAGUGAAAUGUGAAAAGUGUUGUUUGCGUUAUCAAUCACACAACCCAAGCAAGUGUUGCUACACAUUCCGGUACCAAUAAAACAUGCCCGCGAUGCUCAACAGCAACAAUAAUGAAGCAACAUCAAAACAAUUUCCUUUCCACCCAGGCCUCCAAACCUAGGGGAGGCCCUGUGGUGAACUACAUAUACCUGUCUGGACAUGCACCCCCCCCCCCCCCACUGACUGCUCCUGUGGCUCCUCCCACGGACCCCGGUAUAAAGGCGAUUGGAGACACUGCUCCUCCCUCAGUCUCCAGGAUGUAGUGUGGUGGUCACUUCCUGCCAGCCAAUAAAAGCCUAUAUCUCGCCUCACGUCUCCGAGAGUUAUUGAUGGUGCAUCAGGCCCCCUCCAGACCUCCAGCCUCCGGAGGACUCACAAUCCUCGGGCUUUCGACUCACUCGGUAAAUUUUCAAUUUCCAAAAGCCAAAGACUUAAGAACUCUCAGGCAUCCGCAUAUAACUUGAUUAUGAAAAUCUGCUUAUGUUUCCAGAAACAAACUUAUAACCACCUCACUGGCAUGUGAACCCCAUUUCCAUGGAAUGGUUUAGCACCUGCCCAUGGCCGUCCCUGAUGGUGCAAUCGUUCUGCCAGAUAUUCACACUUGGAGCAUCUGGAUCACUGGACAUUACAUGAAGAAAUGACAACAAGAAUUACUGAGUAGGAACCCAUCUCUUUUAAAGUUUGAAUCUGGUUGAUAAUAGUGUAUUUUAAAUUGGAGCAGUCAGAGAAUUCUCCCCUUUGAAUGACAGCUAAAUUCCAAGAAUUUAGAAUUAAAAUUAAAAGCACUGGAUCCUUUUCUUAAGCUAAAUUCUAUUAUAUAUAGUGAAUGUUUUCAUGAACCAAGAGGUUGAUAGGAUAAGAACAGCAGAGCACAGGAACAGAUCCUCCUUGAAAUUAGAUUUGUUGAUGAUACUACGCUGAUUGGCCUAAUUCAAACAAUAAUGAAGCAGCCUACAGAGAGGAAGUCAUCACCCUGACAGAGUGGUGUCAAGAAAACAACCUCUCCCUCAAUGUCACAAACACAAAGGAGCAGGUUGUUGACUGCAGGAGGAAUGGAGACAGGCUAACCCCUAUUGACACUGGGAUUGAGAGGGUGAACAGCUUUAAAUUCCUCAGCAUACUCAUUACUAAGGAUCUAACAAGGCCUGUACAUACUGGUUGUGUAGUUUUUUUUAAAAAAGCACAACAGCGCCUCUUUCACAUCAGACAGUUGAAGUAGUUUGGUGUGGGCACCAAAAUCCCAAGAACUUUCUACAGGGGCACGACUGAGAGCAUCCUGACUGGCUGCAUCACUGCCUGGUAUGGGAACUGUACUUCCCUCAAUCGCAGGGCACUGCAGAGAGUGGUGCAGGCGGCCAAGUGCAUCUGUUGAUGUGAACUUCCCAUGAUUCAGGACAUUUACAAAGACAGCUGUGUGAAAAGGGCCCGAAGGAUAAUUGGGGACCCAAGUCACCCCAACCACAAUCUAUUCCAGCUGCUACCAUCUAGGAAACAGUUUUGCAGCAUAAAAGCCAGGACCAACAGGCUCCGGGACAGCUUCUUCCACCAGGCCAUCAGACUGACUAAAUCAUGCUGUUGUAUUGCAUUUCUAUGUUACAUUGACUGUCCUGUUGUACAUACUAUUUAUUAUAAAUUACUAUAAAUUGCACAUUUAGAUGGUACGUAACUCAAAGGUUUUUACUCCUCAUGUAUAUGAAGGAUGUAAGUAAUGAAGACAAUUCAAUUCAAUAUUGUGUGGUACUAAUUAUGCCGGUAAUCAAACAUUUGUCUAAACCAGGGAUUCCCAACCUGCAAUCCCAACCAGACUCUUCACUUAAUGAGAGGUCUAUAGCAUAAAAAAAUUGUGAACCCCAAUCUCAACUAAUCCCUUUUGCCUCUACAGUGUCCAUAACCCUUCAUUUUCAGCACAUAGGGAUGUUUAAAUACCCCUGUUCUGUUUGCCUCUGCUACCAGCCCUGACACCAUUCACUCUGUGGGCGUGUACAUAUACUUUUGCACAGUGUUGCAGUAAUUUUAUGGAUUGCACCGUGCUGCUGCAAAAACAAACUUUGUGAUACAUGUGAGAGAUGAUAAACCUGACCCUGAUAUGGGUCUCUACUGUGGACUGAGUGGGAAGGGGGAAUUAAAGUUGGGAAAAGGGGAAGAGAGAGAGGAGGGAGCAAGAAGCACCAAAGAGACAUUCUGCAAAGAUCGAUAAACCAAUUGGUUGGAAUCAAAUGCCCUUGCCUGGUGUCUCAGGGCUGGGUGUGUUGGCACCAGCUUCUGGCACUCCUCCUCUGCCACCUGUCCCACCCACCUCUGGCAGUGCUCCACCCUCGUCAUUCCCAACAUACGUUUACAAACUCACUCUCUGCUCCACGCUGACAAAAACAGCACUGUGCAAAAGCCUUAGGUGCCGCAGUUAUAGAACCUUCAUUCAGGAGUGUCAGGCUUGAUUUCAGCCUCUUCCGGUUGCUCACCGCUUCCUCACAUCCCCUGGUCUCAGUGUUCCACUAACUCAGUUACGGAGCGUCCAGAGCUCCGACGAUCCACAACCCUCUAAGCAUGAGAAAGGGCGGGUAGGGGCUUGUUUCACUGUAGUCUGGCUUUGUUGUUGAUGAUGAUGAACAGUGUGGGAAUCUGUUCUGUGGCAACACUUGCCCCCAGCACGUCUUCAGCUGUGUUACCUCAAACGAUUCAUUUCACUGUAGGUCUUGGUGUAAUAAGGAGAUGAACCGGAACUUCUCAGAAAUAUUCAACCCCGCAUCCUGGAGGGUGUCUCCUAGUUCUUACGGCUUUGGAAUCAGAGUCAGGUUUAAUAUCACCGGCAUAUGUCAUGAAAUUUGUUAACUUUAUGGCAGCAGUACAAUGAAAUACAUGAUAAAUAUGGAAAAAUAGCUGAAUUAAAGUAUAUAUAUAGAACCAUAGAACAUUACAGCACAGAAACACGCCUUUUGGCCCUUCUUGGCUGUGCUGUGCCAUUUUUCUGCCUAGUCCCACUGACCUGAACCUGGCCCAUAUCCCUCCGAACCCCUCUCAUCCAUGUACCUGUCCAAGUUUUUCUUAAAUGUUAUAAGUGAGCCCGCAUUUACCACUUCAUCUGGCAGCUCAUUCCACACUCCCACCACUGUGUGUGAAGAAGCCCCCCCCCCAUGUUCCCUUUAAACUUUUCCCCUUUCACCCAUGUCCUCUGGUUUUUUUCUCCCCCAGCCUCAGUGGAAAAAGCCUGCUUGCAUUCACUCUAUCUAUACCCAUCAUAAUUUUAUAUACCUCUAUCAAGUCUCCCCUUACUCUUCUAUGCUACAGGGAAUAAAGUCUUAACCUAUUCAACCUUUCUUGGUAACUCAGUUUCUCAAGUCCUGGCAAAAUCCUUGUAAACCUUCUCUGCACUCUUUCAACCUUAUUAAUAGCCUUCCUGUAUUUCAGUGACCAAAACUGCACACAAUACUCCAAAUUCGGCCUCACCAAUGCCUUAUACAACCUCACCAUAACAUUCCAACUCUUAUACUCAAUACUUCGAUUUAUAAAGGCCAAUGUACCAAAAGCUUGCUUUACUAUCCUAUCUACCUGUAAUGCUACUUUUAGGGAAUUAUGUAUCUGUAUUCCCAGAUCCCUCUGUUCUACUACACUCCUCAGUGUCCUACCAUUUACCUUGUAUGUUCUACCUUGGUUUUUCCUUCCAAAGUGUAAUACCUCACACUUGUCUGUAUUAAACUCCAUCUGCCAUUUUUCAGCCCAGAUCCCUCUGCAAGCUUUGAAAACCUUCCUCACUGUCCACUACACCUCCAAUCUUUGUAUCAUCAGCAAAUUUGCUGAUCCAAUAGUAAAUAUGUAUAAUAUUACAUAUGUGUAUAGUAAAUAGUUAAAUUGAGCUAAGUAGUGCAAAAACAGAGAUUUAAAAUAAGUAGUGAGGUAGAGUACAUGGACUCUAUGUCCAUUCAGAAAUUGGAUAGCAGAAGGGAAGAAGCUGAUCUGUGUUUUCAGUUUUUUACUUGUGUUGCAAAUUCACCUUAUGCUAAAUGUCAAUCUUCUAGAAUAUAUUUAAUUAUUUGUUAAUUUAUUGUGGUAACAUUACUUUACAUACUGUGUUGUGCAUACUAGCCUGGAGGAACGUUGUUUUGUUUGACAGUAUACAUGUGUACAGUUUAAUGACCAUAAAGCUCAACUUGAAAAUUAGAUGCAACUUUCACACCUCUCCUUGACCAGUGACUGCCCCCUACUGUCGUCCUCUCCAGCACAAUAAGGUUUACAUUUAGAUAGGGAAAGGCUUUGUUGAAAUGCUGCUCUGUAAACUGCAGCUUAUAGGAGCCUGAAAUAUUGCUUGCCAGCAGAUAACAAUUUACAGAUUGUAAUGCUCAUUUACCUUUUAGUU